rnacentral:rRNA from 1 species
CCUACGGGAGGCAGCAGUGAGGAAUAUUGGUCAAUGGUCGAAAUCCUGAACCAGCCAAGCCGCGUGCAGGAAGACGGCCCUAUGGGUUGUAAACCUCUUUUGUCCGAGGAUAAAACCCGGGACGUGUCCCUGACUGCGUGUAUCCUAAGAAUAAGCAUCGGCUAACUCCGUGCCAGCAGCCGCGUUAAUACGGAGGAUCCGAGCGUUAUCCGGAUUUAUUGGGUUUAAAGGGUGCGUAGGCGGAAGGCAAAGUCAGCGGUAAAAUCCCGGGGCUAAACCUCGCACCGCCGUUGAAACUGGCGUGCUUGAGUGUGCGGGAAGUAUGCGGAAUGCGUGGUGUAGCGGUGAAAUGCAUAGAUAUCACGAAGAACUCCGAUUGCGAAGGCAGCAUACCGGCGCCCAACUGACGCUGAAGCACGAAAGCGUGGGUAUCGAACAGGAUUAGAUACCCGAGUAGUC